GUAGGGAAUCUUGCGCAAUGGGCGAAAGCCUGACGCAGCCAUGCCGCGUGGAUGAUGAAGGUCUUAGGAUUGUAAAAUCCUUUCAGCGGGGACGAUAAUGACGGUACCCGCAGAAGAAGCCCCGGCUAACUUCGUGCCAGCAGCCGCGGUAAUACGAAGGGGGCUAGCGUUGCUCGGAUUUACUGGGCGUAAAGGGCGCGUAGGCGGACAGUUUAGUCAGAGGUGAAAGCCCAGGGCUCAACCUUGGAAUUGCCUUUGAUACUGGCUGUCUUGAGUACGGGAGAGGUGAGUGGAACUCCGAGUGUAGAGGUGAAAUUCGUAGAUAUUCGGAAGAACACCAGUGGCGAAGGCGACUCACUGGCCCGUUACUGACGCUGAGGCGCGAAAGCGUGGGGAGCAAACAGGAUUAGAUACCCGAGUAGUCC
rnacentral:rRNA from 1 species